rnacentral:piRNA from 1 species
UAUUGAGUGGAAGCAGCUCUCAGCUGAUGGA